rnacentral:rRNA from 1 species
AUUAACGCUGGCGGCGUGCUUUAUGCAUGCAAGUCGAACGGUCCCGCAAGGGACAGUGGCGAAUGGGUGCGUAACGCGUAAGCAACCUACCCUCGAGUGGGGAAUAACUCCGUGAAAAUGGAGCUAAUACCGCAUACGAUCAUCUCUCGCAGGGGGGAUGAUUAAAGCCUUAGGGCGCUUGAGGAGGGGCUUGCGUCCGAUUAGCUAGUUGGUGAGGUAACGGCCCACCAAGGCUGAGAUCGGUAGCUGGUUUGAGAGGACGACCAGCCACACUGGAACUGAGACACGGUCCAGACUCCUACGGGAGGCAGCAGCAAGGAAUAUUGUGCAAUGGGCGAAAGCCUGACACAGCGACGCCGCGUGGGGGAAGAAAGCCUUCGGGUUGUAAACCCCUUUUCUCGGGGAAGAAUAAUGACGGUACCCGGGGAAUAAGUCACGGCUAACUACGU